rfam:Ixodes scapularis strain Wikel colony gcontig_1108378498196, whole genome shotgun sequence.
UUCUGGGAGGAUUGACAGAUUCGGAGCUCUUUCUUGAUUCGGUGGAUAGUGGUGCAUGUCCGUUCUUAUUUGGUGGAGCGGUUUGUCUGGUUAAUUCCGGUAACAAACGAGACUCUAGUCGAUUAAGUAGGUGCGUGGUUCUCUGCACCUUGCACCCUUCUCAGAGGGACAAGCGGCUCCUAGCCGCACAAAACAGAGCAAUAACAGGUCUUUGAUGCCCUUAGAU